AGCUGAGAAAACCACACCUAUAGAUCAGCUGGACCACUGGCCUUUCCUGAAGAACCGACUGUCCCCAUAUAGGCAGUCAUGUGACAAGACCCCCAAUAAAUUUGGGCCAUUGACUCAGCGAUGUACCUCUGAAAUCAGAAGAAAUACAGAAGCUACGCCUGAUGCUUUAAUUUGACUCUUGAGACUCUUGAGUGAGAAAGUACAGGAAACCACUGGACAUCCACUUCAGCCAACUAGCAUCCAAACAGACUUUGAAAUCGCCGCCAUCAGAGCCACAGAAGCAGUGUUCCCAAAUAGUGCUCGAGGGGUGGCAUUCCCAUCUGAGCAAGGUCGUCAUGAGAGCUCAUCCAAACAGCUUUGAGUUGGUGAAGGUUCUUCAG